AACGAACGCUGGCGGCAGGCUUAGCACAUGCAAGUCGAACGAGAUCUUCGGAUCUAGUGGCAGACGGGUGAGGAACACGUGGGAACAUUCCUUUCAGUUCGGAAUAACGUUGGGAAACUAACGCUAAUACCGGAUACGUCCUUCGGGAGAAAGAUUUAUCGCUGAAAGAUUGGCCCGCGUCUGAUUAGCUAGUUGGCGAGGUAACGGCUCACCAAGGCUACGAUCAGUAGCUGAUCUGAGAGGAUGAUCAGCCACAUUGGGACUGAGACACGGCCCAAACUCCUACGGGAGGCAGCAGUGGGGAAUAUUGGACAAUGGGCGCAAGCCUGAUCCAGCCAUGCCGCGUGAGUGAUGAAGGCCUUCGGGUUGUAAAGCUCUUUUGUCCGGGAAGAUAAUGACUGUACCGGAAGAAUAAGCCCCGGCAAACUUCGUGCCAGCAGCCGCCGUAA
rnacentral:rRNA from 1 species